CCCAUUUCUUAAUCAAGUCGAUGGACAGUCAGGCAAGGUUGAACAUGAAAUUUGUACAGUCUCUUCAGUGUUAGUUCAGAGGAGCAAUGGAUCUGCAGGGAUUUUGCAGAGAGCGGCAGUUUCAGAACACCGCAGUUUUGACAAAGGACCAUUUGAGUGGUGAAAACAGUUUUACCAUGGAACAUUGAUAGGUUGUACAACAGUGAUGCUCUCAUUGCUUGUUUUGGCAUUGAUUUACGAGAACUAAGCACCAUGUUGCAUCAUCGAGGAGCUAGAACAGGAGUUAAUCAGGAACCAUCCUGAAAAUCAUACUAGAGUACUAGACUGAUCCAAGGUUCUCUGUCUUGGGAGUUGUACACCUUUUAGCCUUGUUAAAUCCUCCCCAUCCAUACAAAGUCUGCACAUGAGGAUCUUGUGUUGUAUCUUCUUACUGUACAUAGUAGACAAAUCUGGUAAGUACGUGUUAAACUCCUCCAACCAUAUUACUGAUACCUAGAUGUUUUCUCUUGAACUGUGAAGUAUCAAGAAAGUCAACAUGGUCCUCAGUUAACGCUAUUUCAGAAUUUCCUUCUCUUCCUUCAUGGACGAAAUUUAUCAUGCAUUCAACAUUUUAUUUAUUUGUUGUGGUUGGUUCUGAGAUACUUUGCAGUUACAUUUUGAUCGUCACUCAACAAGACUGGCUGGUGUGCUUAGCUUGUUUGGUUGUGAGGAUCAUAAUGGUAGAAUAUAUAUUGCUGAGUUGCUACUGAAUAUAAGGACCUUUACAAGAAUACCCUUCAUACCAUCAUAGUGCUUGCGUGUUGCCUGGAGCCAGCCGAGAUAUCAGGUAUGCCCAAU